AGAGUUUGAUCCUGGCUCAGGAUGAACGCUGGCUACAGGCUUAACACAUGCAAGUCGAGGGGAAACGAUAUUGAAAGCUUGCUUUCGAUAGGCGUCGACCGGCGCACGGGUGAGUAACGCGUAUCCAACCUGCCCAUAACUAAGGGAUAAUCCGUAGAAAUGCGGUCUAAUACCUUAUGUGAUCCGAGGAAGACAUCUGAUUUGGAUUAAAGAUUUAUCGGUUAUGGAUGGGGAUGCGUCUGAUUAGAUUGUUGGCGGGGCAACGGCCCACCAAGUCUGCGAUCAGUAGGGGUUCUGAGAGGAAGGUCCCCCACAUUGGAACUGAGACACGGUCCAAACUCCUACGGGAGGCAGCAGUGAGGAAUAUUGGUCAAUGGGCGGAAGCCUGAACCAGCCAAGUAGCGUGCAGGAUGACGGCCCUAUGGGUUGUAAACUGCUUUUGCAGGGGGAUAAAGUGAGUCACGUGUGACUUAUUGCAGGUACCCUGCGAAUAAGGACCGGCUAAUUCCGUGCCAGCAGCCGCGGUAAUACGGAAGGUCCGGGCGUUAUCCGGAUUUAUUGGGUUUAAAGGGAGCGUAGGCCGUGGAUUAAGUGUGUUGUGAAAUGUAGGCGCUCAACGUCUGACUUGCAGCGCAUACUGGUCCACUUGAGUGCGCGCAACGCGGGCGGAAUUUGUCGUGUAGCGGUGAAAUGCUUAGAUAUGACGAAGAACCCCGAUUGCGAAGGCAGCUCGCGGGAGCGCAACUGACGCUGAAGCUCGAAAGUGCGGGUAUCGAACAGGAUUAGAUACCCUGGUAGUCCGCACGGUAAACGAUGGAUGCCCGCUUUACGGCCUUCAGGCCGUGAGGCCAAGUGAAAACAUUAAGCAUCCCACCUGGGGAGUACGCCGGCAACGGUGAAACUCAAAGGAAUUGACGGGGGCCCG
rnacentral:rRNA from 1 species